rnacentral:rRNA from 1 species
UACGAAGGGGGCUAGCGUUGCUCGGAAUUACUGGGCGUAAAGGGCGCGUAGGCGGACAGUUUAGUCAGAGGUGAAAGCCCAGGGCUCAACCUUGGAAUUGCCUUUGAUACUGGCUGUCUUGAGUUCGGGAGAGGUGAGUGGAGUGCCGAGUGUAGAGGUGAAAUUCGUAGAUAUUCGGCGGAACACCAGUGGCGAAGGCGACUCACUGGCCCGAUACUGACGCUGAGGUGCGAAAGCGUGGGGAGCAAACAGG